GACGUCGACAUUCGACGUCAUAAACACGAACAACUUUGGUGUUUAUGACGUCGAUAUUCGACGUCAUAAACACGAUCAACUUAGGUGUUUAUGACGUCGAUAUUCGACGUCAUAAACACGAUCGACUUUGGUGUUUAUGACGUCGAUAUUCGACGUC